rnacentral:rRNA from 1 species
AUUGAACGCUGGCGGCAGGCCUAACACAUGCAAGUCGAACGAGUGGCGGACGGGUGAGUAAUGUCUGGGAAACUGCCUGAUGGAGGGGGAUAACUACUGGAAACGGUAGCUAAUACCGCAUACCAUCAGAUGUGCCCAGAUGGGAUUAGCUUGUUGGUGGGGUAACGGCUCACCAAGGCGACGAUCCCUAGCUGGUCUGAGAGGAUGACUAGCCACACUGGAACUGAGACACGGUCCAGACUCCUACGGGAGGCAGCAGUGGGGAAUAUAGCACAAGGGGAGAAAGCCUGAUGCGGCCAUGCCGCGUGUAUGAAGAAGGAAUUCUGGGUGUAAAGUAUGUUCAGCGGGGAGGCGUGACCGGCAGAAGAAGCACCGGCUAACUCCGUGCCAGCCGCCGCGGUAAUC